rnacentral:lncRNA from 1 species
GCUGCUCCGAUCUCGCCAUUUCGCUCCCGCCCCGAUGCGAUCUCGCCAAACCCUAAUCGCCACCAGCCGGGCGCCGCAGCCGGAGUGGUAGGCGGGGGGCGGGGGCCGGAUGCGGCCGUGAGGUCCGGGGCGACAGCCGCCCUGGGGGCCGCCGACAAGGGGCUCCUGCCGCUCGUGUCCGUGUCGUUCGUCUCGCUGCUGCUCUUCCUAUCCGCGCUGUCCGGCUUCUCCGCCUCCUCGGCGCUCUUCGCGCGCCUCCCGCCGCCGUCCUACGUC